rnacentral:rRNA from 1 species
UCGCCCUUAGAGUUUGAUCCUGGCUCAGGACGACCGCUGGCGGUGCGCCUUAUGCAUGCAAGUCGAGCGAAGCUUUUCAGUAGUUUACUACAGAAAAUGACUGAGCGGCGAACGGGUGAGUAACGCGUGAGCAAUCUACCUUAGUUACAGGGAUAGCCCGAGGAAACUCGGAUUAAUACCUGAUAUUCUUUACAUUUCGCAUGAAAUCAAAAGGAAAGGUCAGCCGAACUAAGAUGAGCUCGCGUUCUAUCAGCUAGUUGGUGAGGUAAAAGCUCACCAAGGCAACGACGGAUAGCUGGUCUGAGAGGACGAUCAGCCACACUGGGACUGAGACACGGCCCAGACUCCUACGGGAGGCUGCAGCAGGGAAUAUUGCGCAAUGAGCGAAAGCUUGACGCAGCGACACCGCGUGUGGGAUGACGGAUCUAGGUAUGUAAACCACUUUCAGGAGGGAAGAAAAUGACGGUACCUCCACAAGAAGCCCCGGCCAACUACGUGCCAGCAGCCGCAGUAAUACGUAGGGGGCGAGCGUUGUCCGGAUUUAUUGGGCGUAAAGAGCUCGUAGGCGGUUCAACAAGUCGGUCGUAAAAGUUCAGGGCUCA